ACAGAGAAGGUGUUGUUGUUGGU
rnacentral:siRNA from 1 species